AACGAACGCUGGCGGCAGGCCUAACACAUGCAAGUCGAGCGAAGCCUUCGGGCUUAGCGGCGGACGGGUGAGUAACGCGUGGGAACGUGCCCUUUGGUACGAAGUAGCCCCGGGAAACUGGGAGUAAUACCGUAUGUGGUCGAGAGACGAAAGAUUUAUCGCCAAAGGAUCGGCCCGCGUUGGAUUAGGUAGUUGGUGGGGUAAUGGCCUACCAAGCCGACGAUCCAUAGCUGGUUUGAGAGGAUGAUCAGCCACACUGGGACUGAGACACGGCCCAGACUCCUACGGGAGGCAGCAGUGGGGAAUCUUAGACAAUGGGGGAAACCUGAUCUAGCCAUGCCGCGUGAUCGAUGAAGGCCUUAGGGUUGUAAAGAUCUUUCAGUGGGGAAGAUAAUGACUGUACCCACAGAAGAAGCCCCGGCUAACUCCGUGCCAGCCGCCGCCGUAAGAC
rnacentral:rRNA from 1 species